CAAAAAACCUUUCACCACAAUAUUGCAUGAAAAUUCCAGUGACAAUAAUUUUUUGGUUGAAAACAUCGUUUUGCAUGAGUCAUGCAACUGUCACAGUGCAUUCAUGUCAAAUCUGCUUGAUUUUCACACAGCUCACACUAAUACAACUAAAUGCCACGUGAAAUCCAUGCCUGAAAAUUUGGAGGCGUGGUUUGCAGUCAGCUGAGUUUUGGUUUGCAUGAUUAUCAUGCGACCUACGCAUGGAAACUGGUAUGGAAAAAAAUCCAUACACCUUUUCAUGCAACAUUGUGGUGAAAAUUUGUUUGAGUGAGUGGUGCAUCGGUGGUUGCAUGAAUUUCCUGUCUGCAAAUUUUUGGUUCGGUUGUCGAGGAUUUCAGUCGUCAGUCGUCAGUUUAUUCCCGGCGCUCGACUUAGCAAAAAGUGCGUUUGAAGCAAGGGGCUGGAAACUCUAAUAUUACUUAAGAAUACUGAGUAUACUAACGAUAUUCCAGUAUACUUGUUAGUAUACUUACCGAACAGCAAUAAACUGUUAGUAUAUUGAUCUAAGAGUUUCCAACCCCUUGGUUUGAAGUGAGUUUGAGUUUUCUUUGAAAGGCAAAGUUCGUGAAUCACUAUCUUUAAAACCGGAUGGGGACAAAAUCCAACAGAACAUGCCAAUGUUGGAACUUUCGGCUGUCAACCAGUUGCCAUCGGGACAGGCAUCGAACUUGGGUGGCACAAAGCAUUCGGGACAAGCACCAUUAAAUGUCUCUCCCGUCCGCUGCUGCUGCUGCUGCAAAGUAUUCCACCAAGAAGGACCAGAAGCCUUCUCUGCACCUCAAAGCUCCGCGCCACUCAUCACACAUCUAUCUUCCCUGGGCAGAAGGACUCCACGACUUAGUGAAAAGGACGAUGACCGGUUGUACGUCGCCGACUUCGAGAAGUUGCUGCAGUUGGCCCAAGUGUGUUUUUUUUAGCAGAUUGAUGGAUUUUAAAGUGUUUUAGGUAUUAACUAAGUGUGAUUCGUGAUUAGUUUUGAAACUUUGUAUUGAAAGUUCUAUUUGUUUUGAAAAUAAAAAAUUAUGCAAAGUA